UACGUAGGGCGCAAGCGUUGUCCGGAUUUACUGGGCGUAAAGAGCGCGCAGGCGGUCGUUCAAGUCGAGUGUGAAAGCCCCCGGCUCAACUGGGGAGGGUCAUUCGAUACUGAUCGACUUGAAGGCAGGAGAGGGAAGUGGAAUUCCCGGUGUAGUGGUGAAAUGCGUAGAUAUCGGGAGGAACACCAGUGGCGAAGGCGACUUCCUGGCCUGUUCUUGACGCUGAGGCGCGAAAGCUAGGGGAGCAAACGGG
rnacentral:rRNA from 1 species